rnacentral:rRNA from 1 species
GACGAACGCUGGCGGCGUGCCUAAUACAUGCAAGUUGAGCGAUGAAGAUUGGUGCUUGCACCAAUUUGAAUAGCAGCGAACGGGUGAGUAACGCGUGGGUAAUCUGCCUUUGAGCGGGGGACAACAUUUGGAAACGAAUGCUAAUACCGCAUAACAUCUUUAAACAUAAGUUUCAAGUUUGAAAGAUGCUAUUGCAUCACUCAAAGAUGAUCCCGCGUUGUAUUAGCUAGUUGGUAAGGUAAAGGCGGACCAAGGCGAUGAUGCGUAGCCGAACUGAGAGGGUGAUAGGCAACACAGGAACUGAGAGACGGUCGAGACUCCUACGGGUGGCAGAAGGAGGGAAUCUUCCGCAAUGGGCGAAAGCUUGACGGAGCAACGCCGCGUGAGUGAUGAAGGUAUUAGGAUCGUAAAACGCUGUUAUUAGGGAAGAACAAAUGUGUAAGUAAAUAUGCACGUCUUGACGGUACCUAAGCAGAAAGCCACGGCUAACUAAGUG